AUCUUUGACGAUGUUCGUGCAAGGGCGAUGUGGAAACUAGAAAUUAAAAAUGGAAGGAAAGCCCCUAAAUCGGCUCCAAGAGGAACAAAGCAACAUGGGCAAGUCCGCAGAAUAGUUGGAGUGCUGGAGGAGAUCCACUAGAGAAUCCCAGUGGGAAAGAACAUGCCGAGAAGGACUUCGCUCUCUACUUAGACAUCAAGCCGGGCGUGUCCUCGCAAAGAAACAGAACCACAAGUAAUACGAUCUCCGACAACCUCUCCAUUAGGACUCCGGACACCACCACCACCAGCUACUUGUCAGCUUAAGCGGAGCUGGAGGACCCGCUGGCUUCUAUAGGGAGGAGGAAAAUAGGGCGCCCGCUAAGGAACAGUUG